CGCAAUGGGCGCAAGCCUGACGGAGCGACGCCGCGUGGUUGAUGAAGUCCUUCGGGACGUAAAAACCUUUUAUGAGCUACCAAGUAAUUGAGGAGCUCAUGAAUAAGGGGUUGCUAAACUCGUGCCAGCAGCAGCGGUAAUACGAGUGCCCCAAGCGUUAUCCGGAAUCAUUGGGCGUAAAGGGUUUGUAGGUGGUUGUGUUAGUCUUGUGUCAAAUUCUUCGGCUUAACCGGGGGUCCGCACGGGAAACGGCACAACUAGAGGAUGCGAGAGGUAUAUGGAACUCAUAGUGGAGGGGUGAAAUCCGUUGAUAUUAUGGGGAACACCAAAAGCGAAGGCAAUAUACUGGCGCAUUCCUGACACUGAAAAACGAAAGCGU
rnacentral:rRNA from 1 species